AUUGAACGCUGGCGGCAGGCCUAACACAUGCAAGUCGAACGAGUGGCGGACUGGUGAGUAAUGUCUGGGAAACUGCCUGAUGGAGGGGGAUAACUACUGGAAACGGUAGCUAAUACCGCAUACCAUCAGAUGUGCCCAGAUGGGAUUAGCUAGUUGGUGGGGUAAACGCUCACCAAGGCCACGAUCCCUAGCUGGUCUGAGAGGAUGACCAGCCACACUGGAACUGAGACACGGUCCAGACGCCUACGGGAGGCAGCAGGGGGGAGUAUUGCACAAUGGGCGCAAGCCUGAUGCAGCCAUGCCGCGUGUAUGAAGAGGGCGGUAGGGUUGUAAAGUACUUUCAGCGGGGAGGCGUUACACGCAGAAGAAGCACCGGCUAACUCCGUGCCAGCAGCCGCGGUAAUUC
rnacentral:rRNA from 1 species